UUUACUUCCUAUGAGAUCAUUCUUUUACACAGCUUCACUUCUUAAAUAGGCUUUUUCAUCACAUUCAGACAGAGAAAUAAAUAAAAGUUGUGGGCCCCCGCUAAAGUAGCAGCAAACCAAAGCUAUUUAGAACUUAGAAGGCUCAUGGCAUGAUUUUUUUGCUGUCAGUGGUCUACCUUUUCAAUUACUGUCAAAUGCAUGAUUUGGGUUCUCAAGAGUUAAGAAGGAAACUUCUUUAAGCUUAGGAUGGAAGCCAGAAAAAAUCAGGGUAUUCUCCACAAGUGCCCUUGCUUUGUUAUGUAUUUGCUCGUCAUGAGGGUGCUGCUAAUUGGUUCCAAUACUCACGUUGACAGCAACAUAAAUAUGUCCAGCGUUAGAGAUCUUUAUUAUUUUGUAGGCUAGGGCAAAUCCCAUCAAGAAGUAUGCGGGACGUGCAGUUGAAGAAAAAUGAAGUCUUUAUACGAAUUGACGUCUUACAAGCAACAAAGAAAACUAUAAGGUGAAAGCAGCUGGCUGGUUCCAAUAUGAACGGCAGCAGACGUUUGAGCGGAAGAUCACGAGGCAAUGCAGUCAGACGUGGCAGAAAUUCAGAGGGUGGACAUGGUGAAAGUGCAGCUGGCUCCCCUCUAAUUUGUGGGGUCAUCUUCUAAUUUGGUUGCGGUUGGAUGAAGCAGGAGCGUCGACAGAGAGGGAUUUGGAUGCUGCUCCACGCGCUAGCGGAGCUCGUGG